rnacentral:rRNA from 1 species
GACGAACGCUGGCGGCGUGCUUAACACAUGCAAGUCGAACGAAAGGACGGGAAGAGCUUGCUCUUUCCGGAAUUGAGUGGCAAACGGGUGAGUAACACGUAAACAACCUGCCUUCAGGAUGGGGACAACAGACGGAAACGACUGCUAAUACCGAAUAAGUUCCAAGAGCCGCAUGGCCCAUGGAAGAAAAGGUGGCCUCUACCUGUAAGCUAUCGCCUGAAGAGGGGUUUGCGUCUGAUUAGCUGGUUGGAGGGGUAACGGGCCCACCAAGGCGACGAUCAGUAGCCGGUCUGAGAGGAUGAACGGCCACACUGGAACUGAGACACGGUCCAGACUCCUACGGGAGGCAGCAGUGGGGAAUAUUGGUCAAUGGGCGAGAGCCUGAACCAGCCAAGUCGCGUGGAGGAAGACGGCCCUACGGGUUGUAAACUCCUUUACCUGGGAAUAACGGGCGCUACGCGUA